AUUUAGGGGAAUGAAGUGAUAUAUUAAUUUAGACAUAUAUACGCAUCGAUUUUAUCGUAUAAAGUUCUAAAUAGAAAAUUGAUUAUGACAGAUUUCUAUUUACAUGUCUCGACCAAUUCUUGUGCCAGCAGUCGCGGCAACACAAGCGAGACUAGUGUUAUUCAUCUUUAUUAGGUUUAAAGGGUACCUAGACGGGAUUUUCAGCCUCCAUAGGGAACAAAAAUUCUAGAGUUUUAUUUGAGAGGUAAAUAUUAGGACUGUUGGUGUAAAGAUGAAAUUUACUGAUACUAACAGGACGGAUAACGGCGAAGGCAAUCCUCUAUAGAUAAACUGACGUUAAGGGACGAAGGCUUGGGGAGCAAAUAGGAUUAGAUACCCUAGUAGUCCAGGCAGAAAAUUAUGAAUGUUAUAGACUGAUAAUAAUUGGUGUAUAAAUGAAAGUGUAAGCAUUCCACCUCAAGAGUAAUGUGGCAACGCAGGAACUGAAAUCAU
rnacentral:rRNA from 1 species